rnacentral:misc_RNA from 1 species
GAUGAAGAACGUAGCGAAAUGCGAUACGUAAUGUGAAUUGCAGAAUUCAGUGAAUCAUCGAGUCUUUGAACGCACAUUGCGCCCCCUGGUAUUCCGGGGGGCAUGCCUGUCCGAGCGUCAUUGCUGCCCUCAAGCACGGCUUGUGUGUUGGGCCUCCGUCCUCCUCCCGGGGGACGGGCCCGAAAGGCAGCGGCGGCACCGCGUCCGGUCCUCGAGCGUAUGGGGCUUCGUCACCCGCUCUUGUAGGCCCGGCCGGCGCUUGCCGACACAUCAAUAUUUUUUCUAGGUUGACCUCGGAUCAGGUAGGGAUACCCGCUGAACUUAAGCAUAUCAAUAAGCGGAGGA